UACGUAGGUGGCAAGCGUUGUCCGGAUUUACUGGGCGUAAAGAGCGCGCAGGCGGUCGUUCAAGUCGCGUGUGAAGGCCCCCGGCUCAACUGGGGAGGGUCACGCGAUACUGAUCGACUCGAAGGCAGGAGAGGGUGGUGGAAUUCCCGGUGUAGUGGUGAAAUGCGUAGAUAUCGGGAGGAACACCAGUGGCGAAGGCGACUACCUGGCCUGUUCUUGACGCUGAGGCGCGAAAGCUAGGGGAGCAAACGGG
rnacentral:rRNA from 1 species